CAGCAGCCGCGGGAAUACGAAGGGUGCAAGCGUUACUCGGAAUUACUGGGCGUAAAGCGUGCGUAGGUGGUGGUUUAAGUCCGUUGUGAAAGCCCUGGGCUCAACCUGGGAAUUGCAGUGGAUACUGGGUCACUAGAGUGUGGUAGAGGAUAGUGGAAUUUCCGGUGUAGCAGUGAAAUGCGUAGAGAUCGGAAGGAACAUCUGUGGCGAAGGCGACUAUCUGGGCCAACACUGACACUGAGGCACGAAAGCGUGGGGAGCAAACAGGAUUAGAUACCCCUGUAGUCCCUGUCUCUUAUAA
rnacentral:rRNA from 1 species